GCGCGAGUGCUGGAAUUGGCAGACAGGCUAGCUUGAGGGGCUAGUGUCCAUUAGGACGUGGGAGUUCAAAUCUCCCCUCGCGCA
rnacentral:tRNA from 1 species